rnacentral:hammerhead_ribozyme from 1 species
AUCCAGCAGACGAGUCCCAAAUAGGACGAAAUGCGCUUCCAGGAU